rnacentral:rRNA from 1 species
AUGCAAGCAUGUUCCUUAUUACUUGGUAGACCAUGGCAAUUUGAUAAAAAUUCUGUACACCAUGGUAGAAACAAUCACUAUACUCUUGUUCAUAAGGAUAAAAAUAUUACUUUGCUUCCUAUGACUCCUGAUUCCAUUUUGAAAGAUGAUAUUAAUAGAGCUAAUAAAGCACAACAGGAGAAGAAUAAGAGUGAAAAUCAGAUUGUGGCAAAAGAAUUUGAGCAACAAAUGAAGCCUAAUAAUAAACCAUCUAGUGUUGCUUCUGAAAUUAAAUUGAAAAGUGCAUGUUUAUUUGCCACCAAAUCUGAUAUUGAUGAGCUAGAUUUCAGCAAAUCUGUUUGCUAUGCUUUUGUGUGCAAAGAGGCAUUAUUUUCAUUCGAGGACGUGCAUUCCUCUUUGCCUCCUGCUGUCACUAACAUUUUGCAGGAGUUCGCUGACGUUUUUCCACAAGACGUGCCACCGGGAUUACCGCCUAUUCGAGGGAUUGAGCAUCAGAUUGACUUAAUUCCCGGUGCUUCACUGCCAAACCGUGCACCAUACCGUACCAAUCCAGAGGAGACGAAGGAGAUUAUGCGUCAAGUACAAGAGCUUCUCGACAAAGGUUAUAUACGCGAAUCCCUUAGUCCUUGUGCUGUUCCUAUUAUUCUAGUGCCGAAAAAGGAUGGUACAUCACGUAUGUGUGUUGAUUGUAGGGGCAUUAAUAAUAUUACUAUUCGUUAUCGUCAUCCUAUUCCUAGGCUAGAUGAUAUGCUUGAUGAAUUGAGUGGCUCUACAAUAUUCUCCAAAGUUGAUUUGCGUAGUGGCUACCAUCAAAUUCGUAUGAAAUUGGGAGAUGAAUGGAAAACAGCAUUUAAAACUAAGUUUGGAUUAUAUGAGUGGUUAGUCAUGCCUUUUGGGUUAACUAAUGCACCUAGUACUUUCAUGAGAUUAAUGAACGAAGUUUUACGUGCUUUCAUUGGACGAUUUGUGGUAGUUUACUUUGAUGAAUAUUGA